rnacentral:rRNA from 1 species
UAAAGCGGCACGCGAGCUGGGUUCAGAACGUCGUGAGACAGUUCGGCUCCUAUCUCGCUAUGAGCGUAGGAAAAUUGAGAGGAGUUGUCCUUAGUACGAGAGGACCGGGAUGAACAGACCUCUGGUGUACCGGUUAUGCCGCCAGGUGUAAACGCCGGGUAGCUACGUCUGGAUCGGAUAAGCGCUGAAAGCAUCUAAGUGCGAAGCCGACCUCAAGAUGAAUUUUCCCAAUCAGUAAGACCCCUUGAAGAUAACAAGGUGGAUAGGUCGCAAGUCGAAGCGUGGUUAACACGUGCAGCUAAGCGACACUAAUCGGUCGAGGACUUGAUUACUUUUGUUUU